AAUAAGUGCAGUUUUGUACUAUUCACGUUCAACGUUUGACCGUUCGUCUUAUUUGAAAUUUUUUUAUGAUUAGUAUUUUUAUUGCUAUUAGAUGAUAAAACAUGAAUAGUACUUUAUGUGUGACUAAAUAUUUUCAAAUUUUUCAUAAUUUUUUCAAAUAAGACGAACAGUCAAACGUUGGGCACGGAUAUCCACGGCUGCACUUAUU
rnacentral:pre_miRNA from 1 species